UAAUACGUAGGGGGCGAGCGUUGUCCGGAUUUAUUGGGCGUAAAGAGCUCGUAGGCCGUUCGGUAAGUCAGAUGUGAAAACUCCAGGCUCAACUUGGAGAGGCCAUCUGAUACUGCUGUGACUAGAGUCCGGUAGGGGAGCACGGAAUUCCUGGUGUAGCGGUGAAAUGCGCAGAUAUCAGGAGGAACACCAGCGGCGAAGGCGGUGCUCUGGGCCGGAACUGACGCUGAGGAGCGAAAGCGUGGGUAGCGAACAGGAUUAGAUACCCUGGUAGUCCACGCCGUAAACGUUGGGCACUAGGUGUGGGGACUUAUCAACGGUUUCCAUGCCGUCGCUAACGCAUUAAGUGCCCCGCCUGGGGAGUACGGCCGCAAGGCUA
rnacentral:rRNA from 1 species